rnacentral:lncRNA from 1 species
CUCAAGCACAUUAGAAACUCAGAAAAGGGCAGGUCUAAUGUGAGACAGGAUAAGCACAAAAGUCUUCAGCUGGCAAAGUACUAUGGCAGACGCUGUGAUUCUUCACUUCUUUCUGGAUUGAACUGCCCUAUUAUGUACACUUGCAGCAAUUCCCAGCAAGGAAUGGAAUCUGUUUCCCCACCUCUUGAGUCUGGACUGGUCCAAUGACCUGAUUUGACGAAAAGAAUGAAGUGGGAGUGACCAUGUGCCAGUUCUGAGCCUAGAUUUCAAGAAACCCACUCUGUUGGAAUCCUCUUGCUGCCAUGUGAGUAAGCCUGUGUAAGCCUGCUGGACAAUGAGAAACACAGAGCCUAGUUGCGGCAUUAACCCAGCCGACAGCCAGAAUAUCCUGCAGCUCACCAAAGAUGCUAAGGGAGUCCAGGAAUGUGAAGCUGCUAAGCAAAGAGGAGAUCUUCAAUAAAUGUUGCAUCAGAAGAAAUAUAAAAACCUGAGAACAAAAGUCUCUCAUCCAUUCGGGGGGUAUCCCCCAUCUUCUAUGCCUCUCAUCUAGAGGAAACACAGCCCACCUGCUUUCAAGCCAGGCACGUCCUUGGGCGUUCUGCUGGGGCUGCGUGUGAACUCAGUGCAGCAUUCCCAAUGACUACAUCUAAUCAGUUCAGCAGCUCGUGGAUUCUGCAGGAUUGAACCAUUUGCUGUGCAAGCCCAAAUGCCACUACAUAAAGACGUUAGACACAAAGCCCACAUGCAAUAAAUACAUAAGCUGAAGUAAACUGAUGUACACCGUUGGUUACACCUUUCCUAACAACCAAACUGACUAUUGCUUUCCAGCCUUUGGUGACAAGAUUGAAGAGCUUAUCAUAUUCAAGUUGAUUACAUCCUUGGAAAAAAUUGUUGUAGCCUUUGGAGUAGAAGACUGCACCAAUUUUAGGUCUAAUUCCUGGAAAUUUAUCAGUAGUCAUUAUGGAAUAACCAGGGUCCAUGAAUUGUCUUCUCUCUUCUCACCUCCAGUAAUGUCUAUCCACAAAGAGGUAGGUCUUGUAGCAGCAUGCAUUAAAAACAGCAGGAGCAAUCUUCUCACAGAGUCAGG